UUCAUACUCCCUCCGUCCGAAAAUACUUGUCAUCAAAAUGGAUAAAAAGGAAUGUAUCUAGAACUAAAAUACAUCUAGAUACAUCCCAUUUUAUUCAUUUUGAUGACAAGUAUUUCCGGACGGAGAGAGUACAUA
rnacentral:pre_miRNA from 1 species